AACGAACGCUGGCGGCAGGCCUCAAACAUGCAAGUCUAGGGGGUGUAGCAAUACAUCACCGGCGGACGGGUGCGUAACGCGUGGGAAUGUACCUAUUGGUUCGGAACAACUGAGGGAAACUUCAGCUAAUACCGGAUGAGCCCGAAAGGGGAAAGAUUUCUCGCCAAUAGAUCAGCCCGCGUCCGAUUAGCUAGUUGGUGGGGUUAAAGCCUACCAAGGCGACGAUCGGUAGCUGUUCUGAGAGGAAGAUCAGCCACACUGGGACUGAGACACGGCCCAGACUCCUACGGGAGGCAGCAGUUGGGAAUAUUGCACAAUGGGCGAAAGCCUGAUGCAGCGACGCCGCGUGAGGGAUGACUGCCUUCGGGUUGUAAACCUCUUUCAGCAGGGACGAAGACG
rnacentral:rRNA from 1 species